ACGGAAUUAUUAUUUUUAUUAGGAUGAGAAGAAAUAAUCCGUCUUUCAAGGACAGCAAUUCUGUCUUCUAGUGAAACAAGGCUUUCCGUGUCGGCCAUUUUAAAGCUUUCUUUCUUUUACGACAAAAAAGUAGUCCGCUGAUCAGUGUUGUUAAGGGCUCUUUUUUAGAAUUUAGCUUCGGCACAGGCUUCGGCCAACAGAGUUUUUCGAUGUUUCUGACAAUGUAAUCAUGUUAGUCCUUUUUUGUCAUAUUGUUGUUUGUCAAACAAGUCAUAAAAUGUGGUGAAUAAGGUUUUGGAGCAAUGAAAAUCAUGGAAUAGAAUAAAUAAAAAGACGUUUUUCUUAACGACGUAAUAUUUGGUAAGUUGUUGGAUUACUAUUACUAUAGCCCGAUACUGAACGAACUUAUUUAAACUAGCUGAGUUAAAACCAAAGCAAAUUACAACAAACACUUCGAGUAAACAGUAUUUUAUUUUUAUUAUUUCCCUGCUCAUUUGUGUACAGGGUUUGAAUUUGUGUUAAAGUACUUGAUUUUUUUAAAUUUAAUAUACAACGAUUACAGCAA